GCGCCUAUAGUUUAACGGAUAGAACACAGGCCUCCGAAGCCUGGGAUCGAGGUUCAAUUCCUCGUAGGCGCA
rnacentral:tRNA from 3 species